rnacentral:rRNA from 1 species
GACGAACGCUGGCGGCGUGCCUAAUACAUGCAAGUCGAGCGGACGGAUGGGAGCUUGCUCCCAGACCGUCAGCGGCGGACGGGUGAGUAACACGUGGGCAACCUGCCUGUAAGACUGGGAUAACUCCGGGAAACCGGGGCUAAUACCGGAUAACUCUUUCCCUCACCUGAGGGGAAGCUGAAAGAUGGCAUCUCGCUAUCACUUACAGAUGGGCCCGCGGCGCAUUAGCUAGUUGGUGAGGUAACGGCUCACCAAGGCGACGAUGCGUAGCCGACCUGAGAGGGUGAUCGGCCACACUGGGACUGAGACACGGCCCAGACUCCUACGGGAGGCAGCAGUAGGGAAUCUUCCGCAAUGGACGAAAGUCUGACGGAGCAACGCCGCGUGAGUGAUGAAGGUUUUCGGAUCGUAAAACUCUGUUGUCAGGGAAGAACAAGUACCGGAGUAACUGCCGGUACCUUGACGGUACCUGACCAGAAAGCCACGGCUAACUACGUG